rnacentral:rRNA from 1 species
AGUGAACGCUGGCGGUAGGCCUAACACAUGCAAGUCGAACGGCAGCACAUUAAUAGCUUGCUCUUACGGGUGGCGAGUGGCGGACGGGUGAGGAAUACAUCGGAAUCUACUUUUUCGUGGGGUAUAACGUAGGGAAACUUACGCUAAUACCGCAUACGACCUACGGGUGAAAGCAGGUGAUCUUCGUACCUUGCGCGAUUGAAUGAGCCGAUGUCGGAUUAGCUAGUUGGCGGGGUAAAGGCCCACCAAGGCGACGAUCAGUAGCUGGUCUGAGAGGAUGAUAAGAGCCACUGGAACUGAGACACGGUCCAGACUCCUACGGGAGGAAGCAGUGGGGAAUAUUGGAAAAUGGGAGCAAGCCUGAUCCAGCCAUACCGCGUGGGUGAAGAAGGCAUUCGGGUUGUAAAGCCCUUUUGUUGGGAAAGAAAAGCAGCAGGUUAAUACCCAGCUGUUCUGACGGUACCCAAAGAAUAAGCACCGGCUAACUUCGUG